rnacentral:rRNA from 1 species
CCUACGGGUGGCAGCAGUGAGGAAUAUUGGUCAAUGGACGAGAGUCUGAACCAGCCAAGUAGCGUGAAGGAUGAAUGCCCUAUGGGUUGUAAACUUCUUUUAUAUGGGAAUAAAACAGGGUAUACAUACCCUCUUUUAUGUACCAUAUUAAUAAGGAACGGCUCACUCCGUGCCAGCAGCCGCGGUCAUACGGAGGAUCCGAGCGUUGUCGGGAUUUAUUGGGUUUAAAGGGAGCGUAGGUGGAUUGUUAAGUCAGUUGUGAAAGUGUGCGGCUCAACCGUAAAAUUGCAUGGGAAACUGGCAGUGUGGAGUACAGUAGAGGUGGGUGGAAUUAGUGGUGUAGCGGUGAAAUGCUUAGAUAUAACGAAGAACUCCGAUUGCGAAGGCAGCUUACUGGACUGUAACUGACACUGAUGCUCGAAAGUGUGGGGAUCAAACAGGAUUAGAUACCCCAGUAGUC